UCAUGGCUCAGAUUGAACGCUGGCGGCAGGCCUAACACAUGCAAGUCGAGCGGAAACGAGUUAACUGAACCUUCGGGGAACGUUAACGGCGUCGAGCGGCGGACGGGUGAGUAAUGCCUAGGAAAUUGCCCUGAUGUGGGGGAUAACCAUUGGAAACGAUGGCUAAUACCGCAUAAUCUCUUCGGAGCAAAGAGGGGGACCUUCGGGCCUCUCGCGUCAGGAUAUGCCUAGGUGGGAUUAGCUAGUUGGUGAGGUAAUGGCUCACCAAGGCGACGAUCCCUAGCUGGUCUGAGAGGAUGAUCAGCCACACUGGAACUGAGACACGGUCCAGACUCCUACGGGAGGCAGCAGUGGGGAAUAUUGCACAAUGGGCGCAAGCCUGAUGCAGCCAUGCCGCGUGUAUGAAGAAGGCCUUCGGGUUGUAAAGUACUUUCAGCAGUGAGGAAGGUUCAUGCGUUAAUAGCGUAUGGAUUUGACGUUAGCUGCAG
rnacentral:rRNA from 2 species